rnacentral:rRNA from 1 species
GCCAGAGGGUGCAAACGUUGUUCGGAAUUACUGGGCGUAAAGCGCGUGUAGGCUGCUCGGAAAGUCGGAUGUGAAAGCCCUGGGCUCAACCUAGGAAGUGCAUUCGAAACUACCGAGCUGGAGUUCUGGAGAGGAAGGCGGAAUUCUCGGUGUAGAGGUGAAAUUCGUAGAUAUCGAGAGGAACACCGGUGGCGAAGGCGGCCUUCUGGACAGUGACUGACGCUGAGACGCGAAAGCGUGGGGAGCAAACAGG